rnacentral:rRNA from 1 species
ACGUGCCUACGGGGGGCAGCAGUGAGGAAUAUUGGUCAAUGGGCGCGAGCCUGAACCAGCCACGUCGCGUGAGGGAUGACGGUCCUACGGAUUGUAAACCUCUUUUGCCGGGGAGCAAGCGUGCGUUCGUGAACGCACGUCGAGGGUACCCGGAGAAAAAGCAUCGGCUAACUCCGUGCCAGCAGCCGCGGUAAUACGGAGGAUGCGCGCCUUAUCCGGCUUCAUUGGGUUCAAAGGGUGCGUAGGCGGGAUGCCAAGUCAGCGGUAAAAAUGCGGUGCUCAACGCCGUCGAGCCGUUGAAACUG